GAGCGUAUAGCUCAAGUGGUAGAGCACAUGCUUAGCAUACAUGAGGUCCUGGGUUCAAUCCCCAGUACCUCCU
rnacentral:tRNA from 1 species